CACCACGUUGAUAGGCCGGAAGUGUAAGCACAGCAAUGUGUUCAGCUGACCGGUACUAAUCGGCCGAGGGCUUGGUUUCACCAUUC
rnacentral:rRNA from 1 species